AAAUAAUUUGGGUUUUUACAGCCAGGGGUUACAAUUCGAUGCAAUGAAACAAUUCUAAGUUUGAGUACCACAUUGUUUUCAGUCAUUAUAAGCGAGUUGAUGCAAGUAAUGUCUUCCCUUACCUAUUUUGCCUUUGGGUGUCUUUGAAAACCACAGUGUACGGAAACUAACCGAAAUCCCAUGUUGAUUUAAAUAUUUAAAACGAUCUCAGGUCAAUAUUCUAACGUUAAACUGAGAUUACAGCACUAACUCAAUUCAUUUCAAAAUGGUCAUUUGACUGCAGUCUUUGAAGCGGUUUUUAAAACCAUUUAAAGCCACCAGGUAGCAUCAUUUUUGAUAACAAGGAAACAUGCUUUUAAAUAAGCUAUCAAGUUGGACAGAGGCGCAGACGUCAAAAAUAGAAGGGGUAAUAACUGAAUUUUAGAACUGCAAUACGUUUAUUACGAUCACGUAGUAAGAUAUUUUGGAAGCCGGUGAAUUACACUAAAUAAGAACAAAUAAUCUAAAUUGUACACGGUCUGCACCGUUAAACGUUACGCUUCUUUUAAUCUUCGAUUUUUGUAACUUGAUAGAGAUAUAACAACGGCUCUUACCUCUGAACGCCGCUCUCCCACGCCUGGGCUCUGUUAUCUGUGUCUCCGUGUCCCCUAGAGUCCCGCUACAGGAGCGCCUGUAACUCUGUCAGCCGCAUCAGCUGAGACCUCCGCAGCGACUGACUGCAGUUGGCUCAUCAGCCCUCGAUACUUGUGCUCUGCUCCAGUCUCUGCGUUCUCGCUCAGUGCCAGCCGGAUAGCUCCUGGGGUCAGCGAAACGUUAGCUGCAAGCCGGGACAAUCCUCUGCGAACGAGGAGUGGGCAGGCUUUCAUACCAACCCAAGAACAGUAACCCAAGAUGGCACCUCCUGUCUGUACUGGAGCGCUGGCAGCCUAACUUCCUGCUGGAGAGGCCAUGACCUGCUUGCAUCUGUUCCCGUAGCACGGCCUUGUGCUGAAAACACAAAACCAGAAGAAUGCAACUGCAAAUGCAGAAGAAAGAGUCUCGGUGCCAAAUUCAGAGCCUUGAAUGGGUUUUGGUAGUGGAAGAAGCUGAAGAGCAGCUGACGUAAUGCAGGAGGAGAGAAUGAGAUUGGCUCAGGAACUCAACCAACAUAAAAGAGAGAGGUUGGUGUUGUUUAUACCCCUUUUGAAUUUACAGUAGGAAGUCUGGUGCCGGACCACAGCACCAACUUGUAU
ensembl:lincRNA